GACGGUCGGACACUUUUGUCUCGUGGUACACGGCGUGUGAGCGUCAGGAUGUUCGCGUUAGUGCGAUUCUUGAACAGUUUUGAUAAGAAAGAGUAUAUAAUACCUGCCAAUAACAUUAAGGACUUUUACCCAGAAAGCAAGGAGGACUUCAUUAAAAGUAAAGUCUACAGGACAGAGUGGGUUGAUCAUGAAGACCCGGAAAACACAGGAUCGUACACGUGUAGAAUUCUGCUGCUGGCAGACUCGGAACGAGAGCUACAUAAACAAAGGGGCAGCAAGCGCCUUCCACGGCCUCUGAUACACCAGUCAGAUAUUGACCAAGAGGAAGAGCUCAUUGACCUGCAGCUGUCAGCAGUAAACACCAAGCAGACUGCAAAACAGGCACACAAAAAAAUGAAACAGGAUCAGGCAGCAUCAAGAAGUCUGUUUAUGAGGAAAUUUUGAGCAAGCAUGCCUCUCGUGCCCUUGAAAAAAAUAAAGCCGCCCGAGCUUUGCAAACACCCUCAAACAGGCGUGUGGAGUUCAAUGAAGACACCACAAACAAAGAACGCAAACACAAGCAAAUGAGGAAAGAGACUUGACAGGAACCUUAUGAGAGUGUGCUGAAAGAGCGCAAUGAACUGCGACAAGCGGUUGCCAAAAUCAAUGAAAGAAUUGAUCGAAUAGACGUGAAGCUUUCAAUGAUUGUAGAAAUGCUACAGGCGAGAAGUGCCCCUCAGCCUCAAAAGGCACAAAAAAGUGCCCCGCUUCUCGAGCAAGCACAACAGUCCCCUACAGAUCUGUGGGAGGAUGGCCAAGACCUUAAUGGUUUGGAUUACGAAGUUGAACCGUCACACACAGCCCCCACACCACCACCAGCAGCACACAUGGACACUACAUCCAAGCCUGCUGCAGACGCACUCCCCUCAGGUAGAAGCCCAAACGCUUUAAAUGCCAUUAUGUUGCUAUUAUUUUGCUGUAAACAUCAACUUCACUCCUUAUUUCUCAUCAGCUGCAGACUCAAAAGCCCACACUCCUUUUACUGACAUUGGUGAUGGCAAGGUAAGUGCACGACUGUGUUCCCUUCAUUUCUUUUUUAAAGAUUUUGUUUUCAUUUACAGUAUCACGUGAAAGACGGCCUCAUGAUUGG